AAUGAAAAGCCCUAUACAAAGUUUAAUUCUUGAACUCGGUUUAAGCCCGGGUUCAGCUGAGCGGUCGAUGUUCGAGAUAUGUAUUUAUACAGAUCUGGUGGAGUCUCACAGUUGCUACUCUAAGCAGCAGAUGAAAGCAUACAAAAGCCUUCAGGCACAUAAAUAUUUUACAGCUGGAUUUGUUUUGAAUGGAGUAAAAAUUGUUAAUGAUUUCCUGAUUUCCAUAUUAUUGUUGGAAAGGUGAAGCAUUUCCAAAAAGCUAAUGCUAAACGACUAAAUGCUUGGGUGGGGUGAUAGCCAGUUCUGAUGACAUAGCAAAUGCACAUUGUAUGCGUAUGGCUGGUAAUAGUGAAGUCUGCAGCCAUAUUGCAGCAAUCCUAUUUUUAGCUGAGUAUGCCCAGAGCAAGACAGACGAAGAAGAACCCAAUGCAUGUACAUAUGUUACAGCUACAUGGUUUGGAGAUAGCAACAUAUGCAUUCUCUGAUGAAAAACUAAUGAGUUUUGAAACUGUUCGGUCAGAGUGCUUGUUGCGCUCACUAAACGAACUGAAAUAUAAGAAGUCUUUGGCAUUGUGUUGCAGCGAUAUGAAAAUGGUUAUUCAUUUUUAAUUAUAAUGUACUUCUUCAUCAUGAGUAAUUAUGUAUUGGUCUUUUAGAUGUGUAUUUAUUUUUGUAAUUAGUAUCAACUUGUAAUGAUAAUAUACAUUUAUCGUUUAAGGUACGACUAUGUUUUGACUCUAAAAUAAAUGUUUUAAAAAUCGAA